rnacentral:misc_RNA from 1 species
UGUGGGAGCGAGCCUGCUCGCGAUAGCGGUCGUCCAGCCAGUGAUGAUGUCGACUGGCCUGGCCUCAUCGCGAGCAGGCUCGCUCCCAAA